GAGAGAAAGAAGCCCACACCAAGGGUUGUCCCAGGCUCCCGGUGUGUUUGCUACUGCUUGCUGCACAGAGUUCCGACAGGGUCCUCCCUUAACAAGCAAAGAGGAAAAUCAUCUCUGUUGCGAUGCCAGUGUGACUCGGCAAAGUUGCAUCUAGCGUGCGCGUCUGUCCUGGCUGAGGGGGGCUGAGAGAGGCUUUGCUGCCCUUUUCCCCCUUGAAUACGAGUUUCUCGUGACUUUCCACCACCCUGAACUCACAAUGAUCCGUCAAGGACCUUCUCCUAUUUCCCUCCCAGCACCAUCCUAAUUUCCUCCCUUCAGUGGCUUCUCUCCUCUUCAUGAUCACUUUAUCCCUUCCUGGACCAGAGGAAAUAAUGAGAGACAGUGCCUCCUCCGCUGAAAAUCCACAGCCAGGCAUGGACCCCUCCCCACCACCUCCUACUAUGGUACUUAAAGACCUCACCAUGAAAAACUGGAUUGCAUAAAGGACUGCUCCUGGACAGAGACCCCUGGCUUGUUAUAUUUGCACAACUGGACAGUUUUCAUGGCAUAGAUUGGAUGGACUCUGUCAGUGACAGGAGGCAAUGUCCCUCCUGAAGGAGGGAAGGGAGUCUCUUCACUAGCAAAUACUCCAGCCAUUGGGGAAAAAAAAAAGAUCCUGUGAUUCCAACCAUGGAACUGCUACUCAAAACAACUACAAGAAAGAGGAAGUAGAGACCACGCGAGGUAUUUCCGUGUAAGACUGUUCCACCUUGAGAAAAGAAGCAAAAUGUGGAAAUGGGUCCUUCGCUGGAGAAUGGAUUAAAGAGUCUUUGGUCUCUUUCUGAAUUGUGCUACUUAAUUUAUCAUCACCACCAUCAUCAUCAUCUUUGUUGUCAUCAUCUCCAUCACCCGUGCUUCCUACAUGCCAGAAGUGUUGUGUUCCCUGGUUGAUCUCAUUUAAUUCUUCUGACAGCAAUAUGAGGCCUGGUGGAAUCACCUACUGGGAAGGCAGUGGUCCAGCUUUGGGUAAAUCUGAUUCAUUUACUCAGCAAAUAUUUAUGGAGCACUUACCAUGUGCUGUCAGGUUGUUGGGAUACAUCCGUUAACAAGAAGGAAGAAGAUUCCUGUCCUUAUUCUAGCAAAGAAAGCAGGAUUCAAAGCACUUCCUCUUAAGUAAUAGGCCUUGGCAGCUAUGCAGAGCAUUGCAGUGAGAAGCUGCUGUCUUGGGGGAGCUUUACUGCUUUUGGAGAUUUAAUACUGAUCUUGAACUUGAGGUGUGUCUGCAUGAACUUCUAUGCACCAGAAACUUUCAUUUCAAUGCUGAAAUGUGGGGUAAGAUUUUGGUGAAAUUUUAAACAAAUUUAGGGAACUACCUUAAGUAAAUUCAACCAGGUAUCACAUGCAGUCUUACUUUGGAAUUGUGAAAAAAAAAUAAUAAUAAGAGUGGAAAUAUGGAAAGAGAAUGCAAUAGCUACAACAGCAUAAACAUUGACUAUUAAGAAUCAAAAUAAUAUUCAUAAAAAAUAUUCAUUAAGUUAGGUGUCAACAUUUGUAAGAAAUGCACUGUUCCUGGCUUCGAGGUGGAAGAAGGCCGCCACAAGCUAAGGAAUGUGGGCCGCAUCUAGAAGCUGGAAAAGGCAAGAAAACAGUCUCCUCUAGAGCCUCUAGAAGGAAUACAGUCCUGGUGACACCUUGGUCUUGGCCCAGUGAGACCCAUAUCAGAUUUCUAACCUACAGAACUAUAAGAUAGUACAUUUAUGUUUUCUUAAGCCACUAGGUGUGUAAUCAUUUGUUACAACAGCCACAGGAAAGGAAUGCAUGUAUGGUUCUCUACAUUUUUGGUCUCUGCAGAGACAGGGUGGAUGGGGCCAGGAGACUAGCUCUGGCACUUAGAAUGGGGGAUGGGUGUGAUUUGCCCCCUACCUGGGCAAUGUGCCAUGACCUCUCUCUCUGGUGGUUGGACAGCUGAAUGCAGAGGGUCAGUAGAGGGUCAAGGAGGCUCUAGUGGAUGGCAGAGUCGCUGUUUGCAAGGAGCCUUGAAUCUGAAGUCACCACUUGAAAGAGUGUUGCCUCUGGGAGCUGCCCCAACCAAAUGCAUGAGUCUUAAUCCCCUGAGUUCCCAGAGUUCAUUUUUCCCUGCAGCAGAGCUGCUUCUAGUCUAACUCCAGAAUCUCCAAAUCAGAUUAUUUUUUCUUUUUAAAAAAUUUUUAAAGAGUUUUUUUUCUUUUUUUUUUUUUUAAGGGAUCAAACUUCUACAUGGGCAAAGUCAGAACUUUGUUGGGCUUCCUUAGCCUUAGUUUGUAAUUCAGUCUUUUUAAAACUUCACGUAGCACAUGGAGAGCAUUGUAAUCAAAUUUCUAUACUUAGGGCUUGUGACGGUCUUAAACCAGUGCUACUUUCUUGGCCACGGAGGCACCCACAGCCUCACAGUGCAGACAGACAGCUCAUUGGUCUCUUACAGGCUCUUCUGGCCUUUUCCUAAAUAUGCUCUCCAGUGCCAUAAAUUUCUACUUUGUCCAGAGAUUCCUUUUUCUUGGAAUAUGUACCCCACCCCUUCCUUUAAGCUCAGCUCAAUUCCAUCUCCUUCAAGAUGCCUUUCUAGAUUCUCCAAGGAAUAUGAAUUUCCUUCCUCCAUGAUUCCCUGUGUUCUUUCGUAAUACUUAUUAAUGGAUCCCUGUCCUCUCUACCCAAGUACACACACAGGCACAUCCUAAAAUGUAGCUUCUAGAAGGCAAAUAUCAUCCCAGGCUCACUGUGGUCCUUCACCAUAAGAUAGUGCUCUAGGGCAGUAAAUGCUCUGUGCAUUUGCAAAUUUUAGUAAAACCUCUGUGGCUGGUGGAAGAGUUUUGUUUUGUUUGUUUAAGCAGACAGGAUCACGUGGUGCCUUUUAUAUUAUCAUAUAGGACUGGUCCAUUUAUAUAGAGCAAGGGUCCCCCAAGAUUCCUUGUUCAUCAAAAUCUGAAUGACUAAACCAGGCACUGUGCUAAAGGGCCGGAGCACCACGUACCCUGUGGAACUAUCAAAUGUCACCCACUAGGACAGCUGCAAACCACAUAUAGAGUGUACCUACUACGUACCAGACUUUGGGCAGGUGAUCGACAUCAGCCUGAGCCUCUGGCCAGUCCUUCACUUUCUAGGACUUCUUCCCUUUCAGGGAAAUUUGGCCUCCCAGCAUCUGGGGAACAAGCUGCUUAUUUGCUAAUAUCUGUUUGCACAUCAGGGUUUUUUACUUUUAGGAACAGUUUGUCUCUCUGGCAGAUCUCCGUGUUCCCAUACCGUUGUUUAUGAUGUAACUAAGCAUCUAUCGUAUAGAAUUGAACUCAAUUCUCUUUUGAAACUGCAAGAGAUCUAACCCGCUCAUUUUCUUUCCAUUUAACAUACGAGAGGGGUGUGUAGGAGCAGUUUAUUAAGGGGGAGCUGUUUAUUGAAGGAUCCUGGGGCUAAUCCCAGCCCAUUAUUUCUCCAUUUCCUUACAGCUCACUGAGAAGGGUGGGAGAGAACAGGAACGGGGAGACUAUUCUUUCCUGAGUGAUUGUUUGGCCAAUCCACAGGGAUCCUGACUUUCCUACACCCAUCAGGGAAGUAGCAUCCAGAGGGUCAUUCCAGGGACAGGGCUGGCUGUGUCAGGCUGUAAUGAAUGGUUCAGACUGAGAGGUGGAACUUGGCCAACAACAGGGAAAGACAAUAAUCAUUGGAAAAUUUAGGCAUUGAGAAUAAGAUCCAUGUCUGUCUUAUGUCCCCUGGGUACCAACACAAUGACUUGGCUUAGUAACUGUCCCAUAAUGUUUAAAUUAUGUUCAGUGAAUGAGUGAAUGAAUGGAUGCCGUAUUCUUGCUUCCUUCUCCAAACACUCUUUAUAAAAUUACGGCAUCUCAUUCAUGUCUCCUCUAUAAAUCGGGAAUUUGGUGAGGCAUGCUGUUUAUUGCUUAGGAAUCAUUUUACUUAAUCACAAAGGUCCCAGGGGUUCAGGC
rnacentral:lncRNA from 1 species